rnacentral:rRNA from 1 species
AUGCGUGAUCAGGUCGGCUUGGACCUGGACGGCUUCCCUCUCGACCAUGAGUUUCCGGAGGACUACGGGCUAGAGGAAGAGGACAAGUGCGACAUCGAAGGGGAGCCUUUGUUCGAGGAUGAGCUCGCCAACCAAGCCGCCGGGACGAAGCCGAAGCGCAAGAGCAAGCGGACCAAGGCAUACACGGCGGCCGAGGACAAGCUUCAUUGCAAGUGUUGGAGAGACAUUGGGCAAGACCCCAAGACAGGCGCCGAACAAAAGCAUUCAACCUUUUGGAUUCGUGUCCAUCGUGAGUUCCAUGAGCGCAAAAAGUUUCCACCGUACCAAUUUAUAAGCGCGCGGAUGGGUGUCCAUUUUGAAGCGUUGGAGGGUGAUCCAACAAGAGUGCAACAAGUUUUGUGCCACUCUUGA